AUUGAACGCUGGCGGCAUGCCUUACACAUGCAAGUCGAACGGCAGCACGGGUGCUUGCACCUGGUGGCGAGUGGCGAACGGGUGAGGAAUACAUCGGAACAUGUCCUGUAGUGGGGGAUAGCCCGGCGAAAGCCGGAUUAAUACCGCAUACGAUCUACGGAUGAAAGCGGGGGACCUUCGGGCCUCGCGCUAUAGGGUUGGCCGAUGGCUGAUUAGCUAGUUGGUGGGGUAAAGGCCUACCAAGGCGACGAUCAGUAGCUGGUCUGAGAGGACGACCAGCCACACUGGGACUGAGACACGGCCCAGACUCCUACGGGAGGCAGCAGUGGGGAAUUUUGGACAAUGGGCGAAAGCCUGAUCCAGCAAUGCCGCGUGUGUGAAGAAGGCCUUCGGGUUGUAAAGCACUUUUGUCCGGAAAGAAAUCCUUGGCCCUAAUACGGUCGGGGGAUGACGGUACCGGAAGAAUAAGCACCGGCUAACUACGUG
rnacentral:rRNA from 1 species